AACGUAGGAGACGAACGUUAUCCGGAGUUACUGGGCGUAAAGGGCGUGCAGGCGGCUUGAUAAGUUCGGCGUGAAAUUUCCCGGCUUAACCGGGGGAUGUCGUCGGAGACUGUCGAGCUAGAGGGUGAUAGAGGCGUGUGGAAUUCCGGGUGUGGUGGUGAAAUGCGUAGAGAUCCGGAGGAACACCAGUGGCGAAGGCGACACGCUGGGUCAUACCUGACGCUAAAACGCGACAGCAUGGGGAGCGAACGGG
rnacentral:rRNA from 1 species